GACGAACGCUGGCGGCGUGCUUAACACAUGCAAGUCGAGCGGUAAGGCCCUUUCGGGGGUACGACGAGCGGCGAACGGGUGAGUAACACGUGGGUGACCUGCCCUUAGCUCUGGGAUAAGCCUGGGAAACUGGGUCUAAUACCGGAUAUGACCUCAUGACUCAUGUUGUGGGGUGGAAAGCCUUGUGCGGCUAGGGAUGGGCCCGCGGUCUAUCAGCUUGUUGGUGGGGUAAUUGCCUACCAAGGCGACGACGGGUAGCCGGCCUGAGAGGGCGACCGGCCACACUGGGACUGAGACACGGCCCAGACUCCUACGGGAGGCAGCAGUGGGGAAUCUUGCGCAAUGGGCGAAAGCCUGACGCAGCGACGCCGCGUGAGGGAUGACGGCCUU
rnacentral:rRNA from 1 species